rnacentral:rRNA from 1 species
UACAGAGGGUGCGAGCGUUAAUCGGAAUUACUGGGCGUAAAGCGCGCGUAGGCGGCUUUGCAAGUCGGGUGUGAAAUCCCCAGGCUUAACCUGGGAACUGCAUUCGAGACUGCAUUGCUAGAGUAUGGGAGAGGGAAGUGGAAUUUCCGGUGUAGCGGUGAAAUGCGUAGAGAUUAGGAAGAACACCAGUGGCGAAGGCGACUUACUGGACUGUAACUGACGCUGAGGCAUGAAAGCGUGGGGAGCAAACAGG